GGGCCUAGAUAUGAAGGCUGUUUCCAACAUUUUCUGAUUCCUCAUGGUAAUUAUAUUCAACUCAGUUCUACAAGGGCAAAUUGGUACGGAAGAGCCCAGGCAGAAGACAGAUUGAAGUAUUGGAUACGGACAGAUUGCAAGUUACAGCCAAAGGCGGUAUGACAGCUUUAUUGCUGUUGCAUGGGCAACAUAUUGUCUUUGAUUGGGAAAUAAGCUGUGGACUUACAGAAAGGUUUGUACAAAGAAAUGCCUUCAGAUAUUUGUAUUAUUAAAACAAAGGUUGUUAAUACAGA